AUGGGCCUACGGUACGAGAUGAUGGGGCGUCAAACAUUCAAACAAGGGCAUGGAACUCACGAGUAAGAGUCGGUAAACGAUUGGUACCUGAACACGAUUCUUUCGCCAAAAGGGAAGUAUGGGGGCCCCGUCCAAAUAUACUCGGGACAGCGAAGAGGGACUGGGAUUUUUUGCUGAGCCCAGAAGGCA